GGGAAUGUAAUUCACUAGGGUAAUUUAAUUUGCAAGGAAUGAACUAGUGAUUUGUUGCUGGUGCCUCAAUACUAUUUUUUUCACAUAAACUCGCCCAAUAAUCAUAGGCAUGGAUAAGCCAACAAACCAAUUGACUUGCUAGAAAAUUCAACAAGCAAUAGAUCUGAAUCAAUUGUAAUCUGGAGAGAUGGAACCGAUUAACUGGAGAGAAGCCAGCAUAACUGCUAGGGAAAGGCUGGAAGAGUAGCAGAUCCGGAUUAGGCCCAGCGCCUUCUCCAGGGGCUGCUCCUGCUAGUGCAUCAGCAGUCCGGCACCCCUCGUAUCACCAUCUCCACCAUAAUUUCACAUUGCCAACAGGGUCAACAUUUUUUCAGUAAACUGCAGCCGAUGGCUUAAGUCAGAACAAAAGAGGUUGAAUGUAAAACCUCAAAUGGAAACUCACCGGCCACCAACGGAUCCAGACCUGGCUGCAGCCCCCUAAUUGCUGCGCGCAGCCGGCGCUUCCACACUCCGCGGCAGCAGCAUCAGAGGGACCGGAUCCGACUGCUCCAAGCUGUUCGCGAACUCCUCCCAGCGUGGGAACCUUGAAAACCACAGCAGAGUAAGCGGCGGCGGCGGGGAAUCAGUAUAUCCAUCGAAGCACGAAAAUCCAUGGGCGAGCACUGUGGAACAGAAAACUCACCGGUCACCCCAUCGGCAUCCAUCGCCGCUCCGCCGCAAGAAGUCGCGUCCCCUACGCACGCCGUUACCAUCGCACAAGUUUUGAGCCACGGCUCAGACACCCGCACUCACGGAUCAACGCCACC
rnacentral:lncRNA from 1 species